CCUACGGGUGGCUGCAGUGGGGGAUAUUGCACAAUGGGGGGAACCCUGAUGCAGCGACGCCGCGUGUGGGAAGACGGUCCUCUGGAUUGUAAACCACUGUCCCCAGGGACGAAAAUGACGGUACCUGGGGAGGAAGCUCCGGCAAACUACGUGCCAGCAGCCGCGGUAAUACGUAGGGAGCGAGCGUUGUCCGGAAUUACUGGGUGUAAAGGGAGCGUAGGCGGGGAUGCAAGUUGGGUGUCAAACCUACCGGCUCAACUGGUAGUCGCACUCAAAACUGCAGCUCUUGAGUGAAGUAGAGGCAGGCGGAAUUCCUAGUGUAGCGGUGAAAUGCGUAGAUAUUAGGAGGAACACCAGUGGCGAAGGCGGCCUGCUGGGCCUUUACUGACGCUGAGGCUCGAAAGUGUGGGGAGCAAACAGGAUUAGAUACCCUGGUAGUC
rnacentral:rRNA from 1 species